ACGGGCAGGUCUACCUGGCAAUCAGUGCGCAAAUAACUCUGCAAGAGGCCCAGUCCGGACGGGCUAUGAAUUCUUCUGCCCAGUGUGUGGCGGCUAACCACGCCACAGCAGGUCUCAAAGCGGAAGCAAGCAGCUGCCUGCCGAAUGCUCGCUUCAUUUUCCCAGUGCUCAGGCACAGAGUUAUUAUGCACCACGUUAGCUGGGGUUCUUGCAAUUAUCAAGCCCGGAGAACAAAACACACAGUGGCCCCACGAAAUCGCCCUGAGUGUGGCCUAGAUUGCAAACUGCUGUCCAGAUGUUUUCUGCACAGUGCGGGUGUGUGGCAUGCAUCUGACUCGAGCAUCUGCAAGCGAACUGGCAGGAAGCACCGGGGAAGAGCUGGACCGUGCUACGGAGGCAGCAGCCAAACAGAUCACAUGCAAAACGCCAAGGUCCCGUGGGUGGGAAGCCGGUCAGGGAAAUGGGUAAAAGCUUUCAAGGUUUGUUUUGUUUUGUUUUGAUUUUGCUUUGUUGUGUUCUGUGGUUUUGAGCCAGGGCCACGUGUUACCGUAAACCAUGCUGUGUAGUAGAGCAAGACCUUCACUACCAAUCUUCCUGCCUCUACUUCUGAAGUGCUGAGAAUACAGGUGAGAAGACACCCCUGUGUGUGUGGGGGGGUGCUCAUCCCCAAAUAACAUACCACGGAGGCAAAGAAGGACGAACUGGAGGUGUUUGAAGCUCACCCAACCCUGUGAUCACCAAUUCCCACCGAGGUGUUUGAAGCUUGCCCAACCCCGUGAGCACCAGUUCCCACCUGCUGGAAGACGCUGAGCCUAAAGCAGCUUCAGCCCAGAGGGAGGAGUUAGAGCCACAGUGUUUUCAAAUGAACCACACACAGCUUGUGUAGAGUCCACACAUGGCAUGGCACCCAAGGCAUCCUGAGCUUCAGUACGAUCUCCAUCAUCCCUAGGUCCAACCUUCUCCCAGUGGUAGCGGGGUGCCUGGCUGUCUAAAGGAGCUGUAGGACGGAGUGCCACACAGCACAGAUCAGCAGGAUGGGGCUGCAUACAAAAUACGCUGAGGAUGCUCACCGCAUGCCUAAGACAUUCUCUGGUAUUGAGACAACCUUCCCCAAAGCGUGGCUAAAGCACAGGUCCUUCCCUGUCCAUCACUGGGGAAUCGGGCCUGUUUCUGUGACAGCAGCAACAAAUGGGUAAUGGGGGACCAAUCAGAAAGCCCCUUGCUGCACACGUGACAUGAGACCCUCCCUACACACAGCCUAAAGCAGCCAGCAGCAUUGGAGGUUUCUGUGGGGUACCCAGCCCUAGCCCAGGCUGGCUGUCCAGCUCUGCCCAGGCUGUCCAUCUCUUUGCCUCUGCAGCACUG
rnacentral:lncRNA from 1 species